GGAAGUUAGCGGGGACGGCGCUAAGUGACACCUCCCAACAGGUGCGUGGUCCAGCGGCUGCUGCCCCUUACCCAGUACCCCGACUCCUCUGUACGCAGGGGCGGGGUGGUGGGGACGCUGCGGAAUUGCUGCUUCGAGCACCGUGAGUGGACAUCACGAGUGGUUGCUUGGACCUGAGGUGGACAUUCUCCCCUUUUUGCUCCUGCCCUUGGCUGGGCCUGAAGAUUUCUCCGAGGAAGAGAUGGAACGUGAGUGGCUAGUGUGGAGCCUCAGAGUUGGCCGGAGAGGAGGGAGGCCAGUGGAGGGAGAGAGAGGUGUCCAGGCCCCAGGCUCCUGAAACUUUGCAGCAGUGAGUUGCUGAGCACAGGCUGCCCAGCCCAGGGACACAGUGGCUCCCACACACUCACCCCUAGGGCUGCCUGUCGACCUGCAGUACCUGCCACCAGACAAGCAGCGAGAACCUGAUGCAGACAUCCGCAAGAUGCUUGUUGAAGCCAUCAUGCUGGUGAGCAG
rnacentral:sRNA from 1 species